UACGGAGGGUGCAAGCGUUGUUCGGAUUUAUUGGGUUUAAAGGGUGCGUAGGCGGCCAUAUAAGUCAGUGGUGAAACCCUUGGGCUUAACCCAAGGAGUGCCAUUGAUACUGUAUGGCUUGGGUUAUCUCUGGGCGGGCGGAAUGGAUGGUGUAGCGGUGAGAUGCAUAGAUAUCAACCAGAACGCCGACAGCGAAGGCAGCUCGCUGGGGGAUAUACCGACGCUGAGGCACGUAGCGUGGGGAUCAAACAGG
rnacentral:rRNA from 1 species